rnacentral:lncRNA from 1 species
AAAAUGCAGAAAACUAUUUUUAAACCAAUUAAAACAAAGGAGAAAAGAGAAAAUUCAUGAAAAAUAGGAAAUCAAUUAAAUAAAAUAUGGAAAAAUAAAAAUCGGAUAAAGAAAAAUAAAAGAGAAUUUUAGAAAUUAUUUCGGGAUUUUUUGGAUGAAUAAUGAAAUUACUAUGAAUUUUUAAAGAAAAAAAAUUAAAAAUAAUAAAAGAAAAAAAAUUAAAAUCAGAAAAAACACGGAG